rnacentral:rRNA from 1 species
UUGAACGCUGGCGGCAUGCUUUACACAUGCAAGUCGCACGGUAACAGGCCUUCGGGUGCUGACGAGUGGCGAACGGGUGAGUAAUGCAUCGGAACGUGCCCAGAGGUUGGGGAUAACGCAGCGAAAGCUGUGCUAAUACCGCAUGUGAUCUGAGGAUGAAAGCGGGGGACCAAGCAGCAAUGUUUGGCCUCGCGCCUCUGGAGCGGCCGAUGUCAGAUUAGGUAGUUGGUGGGGUAAAGGCCUACCAAGCCGACGAUCUGUAGCUGGUCUGAGAGGACGACCAGCCACACUGGGACUGAGACACGGCCCAGACUCCUACGGGAGGCAGCAGUGGGGAAUUUUGUACAAUGGGCGCAAGCUUGAUCCAGCAAUGCCGCGUGCGGGAAGAAGGCCUUCGGGUUGUAAACCGCUUUUGUACGGAACGAAAAGGCUCUGGCUAAUACCUGGGGCUGAUGACGGUACCGUAAGAAUAAGCACCGGCUAACUACGUG